CGUCAACUAGAUAGGACACACGGUGAGU
rnacentral:piRNA from 1 species